rnacentral:rRNA from 1 species
GACGAACGCUGGCGGCGUGCCUAAUACAUGCAAGUCGAGCGAAGUUUUUCUGGUGCUUGCACCGGAAAAACUUAGCGGCGAACGGGUGAGUAACACGUAAAGAACCUGCCUUAUAGACUGGGACAACUAUUGGAAACGAUAGCUAAUACCGGAUAACAGCAUUGACUGCAUGGUUGAUGUUUGAAAAUUGGUUUUGCUAACACUAUGAGAUGGCUUUGCGGUGCAUUAGCUAGUUGGUGGGGUAAAGGCCUACCAAGGCGACGAUGCAUAGCCGACCUGAGAGGGUGAUCGGCCACACUGGGACUGAGACACGGCCCAGACUCCUACGGGAGGCAGCAGUAGGGAAUCUUCCGCAAUGGGCGAAAGCCUGACGGAGCAACGCCGCGUGAGUGAAGAAGGAUUUCGGUUCGUAAAGCUCUGUUGUUAGGGAAGAAUGAUUGUGUAGUAACUAUACACAGUAGAGACGGUACCUAACCAGAAAGCCACGGCUAACUACGUG